rnacentral:rRNA from 1 species
AUUGAACGCUGGCGGCAGGCCUAACACAUGCAAGUCGAACGAGUGGCGGACGGGUGAGUAAUGUCUGGGCAACUGCCCGAUGGAGGGGGAUAACUACUGGAAACGGAAGCUAAUACCGCAUACCAGCGGAUGUGCCCAGAUGGGAUUGGCUAGUAGGUGGGGUAACGGCUCACCUAGGCGACGACCCCUAGCUGGUCUGAGAGGAUGACCAGCAACACUGGAACUGUGACACGGUCUAGAUUCCUACGGGAGGAAGCGGUGGGGAAGAGUGCACAAGGGGCGCAAUCCUGAGGCAGCCAUGCCGCGUGUAUGAAGAAGGCCUUCGGGUUGUAAAGUACUUUCAGCGAGGAGGCGUUACUCGCAGAAGAAGCACCGGCUAACUCCGUGCCAGCAGCCGCGGUAAUAC